rnacentral:rRNA from 1 species
CGUAGGGUGCGAGCGUUAAUCGGAAUUACUGGGCGUAAAGCGUGCGCAGGCGGUUUUGUAAGACAGGCGUGAAAUCCCCGGGCUCAACCUGGGAACUGCGCUUGUGACUGCAAGGCUAGAGUACGGCAGAGGGGGGUGGAAUUCCACGUGUAGCAGUGAAAUGCGUAGAGAUGUGGAGGAACACCAAUGGCGAAGGCAGCCCCCUGGGUCGAUACUGACGCUCAUGCACGAAAGCGUGGGUAGCAAACAGGAUUAGAUACCCUGGUAGUCCACGCCCUAAACGAUGUCAACUAGGUGUUGGGUGGGUAAAACCAUUUAGUACCGGAGCUAACGCGUGAAGUUGACCGCCGUGGGGAGUACGGCCGCAAAGGUUA